CUCACAACCCCAAGAUCAAGAGUCGUGUGCUCUACUGACUGAAUCACCUAGCCACCACUGCUCUCUUCUUCAUAUGACAAUGGCCACAUUCAUCAAUCAAUUUGUCUGCCAUAUCCUAUCUCAGAUGAAUAUAAUGGGCUUUAUGUUAUCCUUAUUGAUGCCAGUAUUUUGUAUUAAAUCAAGAAUCAAUUAAACCUUC